UGUUGAAAACCAUUUAUUUAAUUGGGUAUUCGAUCGGUCAUUUGAAGCUGACUUUCUCCUACAGGCAGCACUCGUUUGUGAAUAUUCAUGCAUGUUGUUAGAACUGCAAAUACAAUCCCGGUCACCUUACAUAUAUCACAGUUAGUAAAUUAUGUUAGAAUAUUUGUAAAUAAAUUGUAUUUAAAAUGGCGUAAGUGCAGCGGGAGGUGUGUUGAAGAGCUAAGUGGUACAACUGUAGUGCUUUUUAGAAACGAAGGCAAGAUGCGUGUGUUGCUACCAUUGUCAACAAUAACGGAGGGCACCAAACACUCUAGGGUAGAUACUAGGUUGAAGCAACAAAAUGCAAUUGCAGACAAAUAUUGAAAAGGCUUUGUACAACGUAUCAGUAAAAACUUAACAGAAGUGAACGAAUCUGUAAAAAGAUGAGGAAGAAACUUUAUAAAACAAAUUAUAUAAAACGCACAACUACU